rnacentral:tRNA from 1 species
GCGGAUGUGGCGAAAUUGGCAGACGCGCGGGUCUCAGAAGCCCGUGGUGGUGACACCGUGGUGGUUCAAAUCCACUCAUCCGCACCA